rnacentral:rRNA from 1 species
AUGCAUCGUGCAUUUGCUAAACGGCUGACAUGUUGGUUGGAGCCGACACGUACACCACCACCUCCACCUCAAAACUUAUCCAUUCGUUUCCACCUCCACCGCUCGAUGUUUUAUUUCUGUCGCUAUCCAUCGCUCUACCUAUCUGCAUCUCUUUCUUCACCGAGGGCCCAGAGUCGUUGCCUACCCCGGACACGGGCGGCUUCCCCCCGAGCGUGCCUCCACCACACAACAUCACCCCAUCUCCAGCUCCCCUCGCCGCUGCCAGAGGCCACCUCCAGGCCUGUCUCAGGGCCUCUCCUCGUCUCACAGCCCGUUGCGUGCGCCCCCUUCCCUCGCGGCUGUCAGCCCGAUGCUCCGGAGGCGUGCACCCCCUUCCCUCGUGGCUGUCGGCCUGGUGCUUCGGAGGUCCGGUGGCGCGUCUCUCGCUGGCCUGCCGGCCGACGGAGUGGCCCCUGGUGGAAGAUCCGGGGCGGCUGCUCCCAUGGCCGCGCCCUACGGUCGACGGAGUGGCCCCUGGUGGCAGAUCCAGGGCGGCUGCUUCAAUGGCUGCACCCUCCCGUGACUUCCCGCGCAGCGCGCCUCGCCGCUCCUCCCCUUCCGCCGCCACCGACACAGUUGCCCGGUGUCGGCGCGCGUCCUUGUUCUGCAGGAUCCGGCUCCACCCUACCCUUCCUCUCCUCGACCACUGGCAGCUCCGACCUCUCGAGGACAACGGCUCGGCCCGGUCUUUUGUUGGUCUGGUUGUGGCCCCAUGGCCAUGGCGCGUCGCCACCGCCGGCCUUCGCGCAGCCGCGCUGGAUCCCGACUUCAUCCCCCUCGCCCCGACGUCCGCCGCUUCCCCGCCUCCCGGAGCCCUGCCACCGUCGUCCUGCAUCAUGUCACGAUCGGAUCGGGUUUUCUCUUCACUCAUCAAGAAUUGUGGCCAUCCUCUGCACCCGAGACCGCUACUCACAUAGCGGCGCUCUUCAGCCAUCGAGAAUUGCGGGUUAA